CGAUCAUUUCACGUUGAAUCAUCAGUUCCCAUACGAUCACCAAAGUUAAGCAACGUCGAGUUUGGUCAGUACCUAUUUGGUGACCGCUUGGGAAUACCAGGUGAUGUAA